CACGCGUCUAGCGUAAUAAAUUAUAAGCAUGGUACCUUUAAUAACUAUUAGCAUGUCGUAAUAUUCUAUUGUAUUGUUUGUUUGUCUAUGUCUUUGUCCUGAGUAUUCUUCAAUUUAUUUGUAUUGUAGUCCUGUCAUAAAAUGUUGUACUGUUAAUGUUAUAUUUGAAAUUGCAAUAAAAGCAGGUUUGGCUAGCCACAAAAACAGGUUCAACCCACCAUUAUUUUCUUAAAAUGUUCUGUACCAAGUCAGGAAUAUGACAAUUGUUAUCUAAUAGUUCUUUUUUGUGUGUGUUGCAUUGUCGUUUCUUUUUUUUUUUGUGUCGCACUUUAGUGUUUCUGUUGUUUCAUCUUUUCCAUUUAUCUAACCCUAAAU
rnacentral:lncRNA from 1 species